rnacentral:lncRNA from 10 species
CCGGAGCUGUUCCUAUUCGGCCAUCUUGGCUCCACUCUCCUUUAUUUUUCUUAAGCUUUAGGUUUAAACAUUCAAAAUAGUAUUGUUUUUCCUAUUGAGAAUGUCAAAUUAUAAGCUAUAAAUUCAAGGGAUAAUUUUGUAUUGUUAAUGUCAGAGAAAUGCUUUUUGAUUUUAGUUUGUUUAGUCUCAGUAUGAGUUACUUUUGGGAUACUUUAAUAUAAUAAUUCUGGCACAGAAUCUACUACAGAUUUCAGUGUUCUCUAUUUUCAUUUCACUCAAUGUAUUAAACACAGAUUAAUUGAGGCUGAAUUGCAUGUAGUCUAAGAUGCCAAAUACUUGCAUAGAAAGAAUUCAUAUUGAGAAUGAAAAGUAAUUCUGCUAAGAAAAGAACUGUUAAAACAACGAGGAGUAAUUACAUAUAUUUUUUACUUUAAAAUGCAGAAAAAAAUAUGUGCCAAAAUUCUGUAACCAUAUUUUUUCAAUUAUAAAACCAAUAUAAACAAAAAUACAUGUCUGAAUAGUAUUGUGGCUCUUUACCCGUAUGAAAGUGUUUAAACCAUCAAGUGAUAAAAUUUAGGUGAAAAGACGUUAUAAGUUAAAAUUCUGUAUAAAUUAAGAAUAGCUUUACUAGUAAAUUUUAAUAUUGUACAUAUGUUGUCAGAAGUGAUUAAGGUAAUUACAUACUCCAAUUAUUUUCCUUUUUUUGCAAAUAUAUCCACUAUGUUUUUUGAAUGAAUCUAUUUUUAUUAUAAUUAUGUCAUAUGUAAAUAGGCUAUAAUAUUUAAAUUUUCCUUUUAAUCAUUACUGCACAUAUAUAUUGAAAUUUACUGCAAUUGUAUGCAAUUCUCAUUUUUAGGCAUAGAUAAUAAAGACAAGAAUAAGGUAAAAUUUUGCCCUGAGUAUACUUACAUUUUAAUGGGGAAAAGAACAGACAUAAAUGCAUCUAAUUUCAGGUAUUGAUAAAUGUGUGAAACUAAGUGAAACAGUGUGAAGCAUGAAGUAUGAUAAUCGGAGGCAAAGAAAAGAGAAAAAAAGACAAAGGUUCCUGAUGAAAGUGGAAUUAUACCUCCAGAUUGCCUUGGAAGUUGAGCUGCAACAUCAACUUUUCCCUGAAGCUCCAGCCUGCUAGCCUACCAGCACAUGCUGCAGAUUUUGGACUUGCCAGCCCCCACAAUUAUGUGAGCCCAUUCCUUAAAAAUAAAUUCAGUUCAAUCUCUCUCUCUCUCUCUCUCUCCAUACAUACAUCCUAUUGGUUCUGUUUCUUUGGAGAACUCUGACUGAUACAGAUUUUGGUACCAAAAGUGGUUCUUAGGCUGCUCAUUCAUCCUGACAAUCAAAAGUGGUUCUUAAAGAACAAAAUCUUAAAAACCCAUUUUCUAAAUUGGCUCUGGGGUUUCUGCAAUUGGUUCCCUAGUCUAAUUAGAUUUAAAAGCAUUAGUGUUGCAUUUCCAGGAGUAAAAGGAACACUGAUAAUCCAUGGCAUGAUAUGAUGAUAAUAGAGAUACUCAGAAUAUCACCAUUGGAUUCUUUUAAUCAAAUACUUAAAAGAGGCAAGGUUCUGGGUGACCUAUGUAAUACCUUCAAACAUCUCUGUCAAGCUAAUCUUAGAGUUUUCAUUUCACACGUGAACUGGGAAUAAUUACUUUUACCCCAAAAAGAGUUGUAUUGAAGAAAAAAUGAGCUAACCCUUUUGGAAUAUCUGGCACAUGGUAUGCACUUACUAAACUGUCAUGUUAUCAAGGUUGACACUAC